rnacentral:lncRNA from 1 species
GUUGUCCAUGAGUUUUACAUGUUAUAAUAGAUGCAAUUAGAGCUCAUUAUCCUGCACCCCGGUGUUAGUGCUCCGCUCGUGGCCAGGGCUUAGCCUUCACGUGAUCGUUCACCUUCUGCACCACACGCUCACCUUGGAUACAAGGUAGGUGCCAGCCUAUCGUACAUACCACAUUAGGUGGUUCCGACUCGUAGGUAACUUGCGAUACUUCGCACAACCUUCACGUGAUCGUAGCACUUAAGCGUAUUUAUUUACACCCAGCCUAUCGUACAAACCACUUUAGGUGGUUCCGACUCAUGUGCAGGGAUAUGUGAUGAGCUAUGGGUUAAGCGGUACAAGCCGCAAUAGGUGGAUCCGGCUGACAUAUUACAGGGAUAUGUGAUGAGAUAUGGAUAAGUCGUACAGGUCACUAUAUGUGACUCCGACUUAUGUUCUAGCAUUGAUUGAUGAGAUAUGGAUAAGUCGUACAGGUCACUAUAGGUGACUCCGACU